GACGACCAAUCCCACAGCAUCUAAUUGAGGGCAAGAACCUUCAAACUCCAUUAAUUCUCCUUUUAGGGAAAUUAUAUUUUAGUGGGCAAAGCAAUCUUCGGAUAAAUCGCAUUGCUAAAUACAAUUUGGAAAAACAUCUCUGCUAUACAUUCAAAUUAAGCUGUCACGAUUUUUAAUAUUUUUUGUAUCUUGCUAUAAAUAUGAUGUAAAUCAAUACUGUGGUGUUCCCAUUCCUAGUCUCGUAAUUAUUACUUCGCCCUUAUUUUAUUUUUUUUAUUUUUUCAUUUUCGGAUCCAACAGUAACUUGGGAAUAUCAAAGGUUGAUAUUUCAUCUAUAUGGAGAGAAUAUAUAUAACUAAAUUAAAGUAGAAAGUCCUUCCAUUUAUAUGGAAAAAUAAGACCACAAUCAUCAACACUAUAUAAUAUCAUACCUAUCUGGCAUUGAAAUAUAAGGUUUGAUCCUGCUACGCUCCUUUUAAUAGAGGAUGUUCAGUUUUCUCAUACCAGAACUGAUAGUAAUUAGUGGCUGUUAUUGCCAAUGCUGAAGUGCUUGCAUGGAAUCAAAACUAAUGCACUUUUCUAAUCACAAAUCUUGUAAACUUAUCAAACAUUCUCAAAGAGAUAACAUAGAGUAUUUCAAUAAAUACUAUUUCAAUAUUCUCAAAGUAAUAUUAUUUCAAUAAAUUUGAAUUAUCAAAAUAGAAUACUCCAUGUUAUAUUAAAGAUAAAGGAUAACAUAGAGUAUUAACAAAACUUAUAAUAUUUUGAUGUAAGAUUAACAUGAAUAGAAUUCCACUUUGCAUAUAUUGAGUCUUUAGUAAUUAAUAAAUAAAGAUUUGGUGAUUUUUAGCCAUAACAAUGUCAACUUAGCCAUAACAAUGUCAAACAAAGAAUACUGAAAACUGAAUCAGAUACUCUACUUUAGUGGAGAAUGGUGAGGUCAAAGGCAGUACAGUGAUGCUAUUAAAAUGCCAUAACCACUGAUUCCAGUAAAAAGAACCUAUGGAUAAUUUACUUUCAUAAGAGAUCAUAAUUUAUAAGAUCCUAUGCUGAUUCUCUAACUUCAUAGUCUAUAUAUAUCCAGGUUUUCCAUAAAUUAAUUAAUAUUGCCGCGUUUCCAACACUCACUCACUCUUGUAUUUGAAAUUUGGUACUGAAAGAUUGUUAGCGUCCGCAUCUUUUGAAAAAGAUUUAUCAAUAAAUGGAUGUAUCUAACCUCCAUUUUGCUCCAAAAUUAAUACAAAGAGGUAGCCAGCCAUGGCAAGCAAACGCCAACUAAUUAGGAAAGCCAAAUAGAUCAUUGUAUUUGUUGAUCAUGUUCUAUCCUAAUUAAAUUAAAAAAGUCAAUAGCGAACUUGAACUUAACCUAAGAACUAAAAACAGAUAAAAUCAAACUAAACUUUCCAUUAAUUUCAUAUGAAAAUAAUUAAAGAUUUAAACUACACGAAUCAUUUUGAUCAUUUCACAAUCUCAUUCAUCGGAGUAAGAUCCAUUAGAUAAGCAAGCUAUGGUGCCCUGUUUUUUAAAAUUAAUAGAGCAUCCAACAAAAUCUUGCUGCUAAUAAAUAUGUUCAAUAAGGACAAAUUAGGAAUGUUCAAUCUUAGUUAAGAAUGUUCACAAAGUACUACCUAUCUUAGUUAAGAAUGUUCACAAAGUCCAGGCCAAAUGCCAAAAACAUGGCCGUAACAUGCUGAACAAAGAGGUUAGCAAAUAAGCAGAAAGAAAAAGGAUACUUCAAUGGCUGUCUGAUUCAGAGAGAGAGAGAGAGAUGACAUAGGUGGUCAACUCUUGCUUGCCAUGCUUUGAUUCAGGCAGAACCUAUGUGAAAUACUAUUACUUUCACACAGUUGGACUGAACUAGUCCAAGCCAAAUGCCAAAUGCCAAAAUCAUGGCCGUAACAUGCUGAACACAGGUUAGUAAAUAAGCAGAAAGAAAAAGGAUACUUCAAUGGGUUCCUGCUAUAGCAAUCUUUAACUUCCCAACAGCUUUCAGAGGGGCAAGCUGUUGGAUGCAGUUCUAAAACCACAAGUCCAAACAAACCGAAAGAAAAAGGAUACUUAGAUCUGUUUGCAGUCUUUGGACAAGUAGAUGCAGAUUACAAUGUUAACUUAGCCAUAAAAAUGUCAAACCAAGAAUACUGAGUGGAGAAUGGUGAGGUUGGCAGAUAUUUUUCAAAAAGGUUUCUCAAGCUAUUAAUUAUAAACAAGUUAUUCUGAAAGAGUAGUCAUACCAUGAAGGAGCAUGUCUAAACAUUCAAAGUUAUAAACAUAUUUAUUCAAGUUUGGUUUCGAGCAUAAACUUCUUUCGUUCGUUUCCACUUUCAAGCACCCCAACACGAUUCCUUAGCAUCCCAAAAGAGACAGCAACGAUCUUUUUAUUUUAUCCAUUUAGCCCCUAAAGCAAGAUUUUUAUUAAUAUUAUUAUUGUUGUUGUUGUUUUGGUUUACAAAGAUAAAUUUUAAUUAAUUUUCUUUUGAGAAAACUACAAAAUACCUGCGUCCUAUUACAUUAUUGACAAUGUGCAUCACUUAACUUUUUCAAUGUCAUCCUUUUAUUCACUCUGUGUCAAAAAUAAUUGAUAUAAUCUUCAAAUAACUAAUUAUAUGAUACACUUGUUUUUUUCAAGUAAUGAAGGGAAAAAUCCAACACUCUAACAUCUAAAAAAUGGCAAAUUUGAUAUUAGAGCGAACUAAUUUUAGUGAAACAGAUGUAGGACAUAUGAAUUAUUUAGAAAUAAUUCAUUGUAAUUUUUUAAUUUAUGAGUCAGGAUAUCUUCUAAUAAGCUUUCAAAAAUAAAGGUUAACUUCUAGACGUAUGCAACCCAUUGUGGUACAACUUAUACAAAUGUCAAUUUUGGAAAUUAGUACUGUCGUGUUUCCAACGCUCACUCUUGUGUGGAAUUAUUGCAAGAAUUAUUUGCAAGUGAAUCUUCAGUUCCAUGAAGAGUGGACAGUACCUAUACAUCCAAGUUCCAUGAAGAGUGGGAGGUCAAGGACAGGUCACAAAAUGCAGACUUGUUCUCCCUUGUUGAUGCUGAAAUUAAGAGAAAGACCUUUUAGGAGGACCAAUCCCAGAGUAUCUCGAGGGCAAGAACCUUCAAACUCCAUUAAUUCUCCAUUGUUUGUCAGUUUUAUAGUAACUGUUCAAUAAAGCUAUUGCCAGAACGUGUUGACUGUAGACUGGAUUGAAGUGGACAUAAGAAGGUGAGGAUGAGUACUCUUUAACUCUGCAUGCCCACUCGCUUAAGCUGUGAGUACAGUACGAUCGUAAAUUAUUAAGAAGUUUUCUUCCUAUAUAUUGAGGACGUUGUGGAUUGAAUUUCAUGGAAAUUAUUUUUUAAAUUAUUUUUUAUUUAAAAUAGAAAAGGGAAAAAUCAAAGUAUAUCAAUUGAAGGAAUGGAAAGAAUUUUUUUAAUCCAUUUAGGAAAUCAAUAAUGUCUGUUAGUAUUGUUAGAGCAUGCUAGUAUGGUGGUUAUUGUUUUUUAAAAUGUUUUUUUUUUAAAUGUAUCAAAAUAGUAUUUUUAUAUAUUUUUAAUUCAUUUUUGACAAGAAACCAAUAUUUUCAUGUUUUUACAUCGUUUUAAUAUAUUGAUAUAAAUAACAUACCGUUAAUGCCGGGCGAGCUACAAAAAUAUUUUUAAUUAGCGCAUAGACUUGCUGCACAUCACUCAAAUAGACUUGAUCUCAACAAAAAAUGUUAAAGGAAAUAUUCGCAAUUGAAUAAUUCAACCCUCAGUUCCACAUUCAGCACCACAUGAAUACUCUUCUGGACCAGUGCCUAUUGCUUUCUCUUGUUUAGUCAUCAACAAAUUAAGGGAGCUCUCCUUGCGAGGAAAUAUUCGCAAUUGAAUAAUUCAACCCUCAGUUCCCCAAUUCAGCACCUCAUGAAGAGUCGACAUUAUCUAUACAUCCAAGUUCCGAUCGAAGACUUGGAGGUAAACGACAGACCAAAUGAAGAGUGGUUCUCCUUUGUUGAUGCUGAAUGAGAAAGACCUUUUAGGACGACCAAUCCCACAUCAUCUAAUUGAGGGCAAGAACCUUCAAACUCCAUUAAUUCUCCAUUGUUUGUCUGUACUUUUCUAGUAACGGUUCAACAAAGGUAUUGCCAGAACGUGUCGUCUUACCUUCGGUGAAAACUGAUCCAGGAAGUGUAAUUAAUGUGAAUGAGAUUGCAAUAGUAUAAGAAGGCAUAUUGUGAUAAAAUUAUAAGAAGGUGCUGAUUGGAAAAUGAAAUUAAAACAUGGCGAUGAAUUCACGUGAAUGAGAUUAUAAUAGUAUAAGAAGGCAUAUUGUGACAACACAAAAAAACAAAAUGAAGGUAGAUGUUGCAGGUAACCGCAGAUUUAUCCAGCAAAAAUCUGUACAAAGAGUUGCAUUAUUGUCUUUUGUUGGCAUGGAGUCUUAUAGAAGACGAGGACGAGUGGUAGAAGUCCCCAGCAACGUACACUUCCCAUAAGACGAGCUGCAGAGGAAGAGCACAAACUGUAUCUAUUAGCACAUGUUCAUUGCUAUUUUCUGGGAAACAUAUAAAUUGUUUAACCCUUCAAGUAAACAGUCCCC
rnacentral:lncRNA from 1 species